rnacentral:guide_RNA from 1 species
AUAAACGAUUACCUACGAAUAACGAAUUAUAGUGAUUUGUAAUU